UCAAAAAGACAAAAAAAAAAAAAAAGUUUUUUUAUUGAAGUAUAGUUGGUUUACAAUGUUGUAUUUCUGGUGUAGAGCAAGGUGAUAAAAGAAUAUGACAAAAAAUAUAUAUAUUCUUAUAUAUUUCUUUUUUCUUUUUCAUAUGGUUUAUAACAGGAUAUUGAAUAUAGAUAGUUCCCUGUGCUAUACAGAAGGAUCUCCUUUAUCUAUUUCUAUAUAGUAGUUUGUAAAUUUCUACACAAAUUUUAGAGUCGGAUGUUGAUUUCUAUGAAAGAAAAAAAAAAAAGCCAACUGGCAUCUUAUUGGUAUUGCUUUGAACAAUUUGCUUUGGAAAAAUAGCUUAAUUUUUUUUUUUUUUUUUUUUUUUUUUUUUUUUUUUUUUNUUAGGACCACACCCGAGGCAUAUGGAGGUUCCCAGGCUAGGGUCGAAUUGGAGCUGUCACUGCUGGCUUAUGCCACAGCCACUGCAAUGCUGGAUCCUUAAUCCCCUGAGCAAGGCCAGGGAUGGAACCUACAUCCUCAUGGAUGCUAGUCAGAUUUAUUUCUGCUGAGCCAUGACGGGAACUCUGAAAAAUAGCUUAAUUUGAAGAGAAUUGAUAUCUCAACAAUAUUGAGUCUUUCAAUCCAUAAACAUUGUGUAUCUAUCCAUUUAAUGUUCAUUUAGUUAGGUCUUCUUAAAAUUUUUGUAGGAAUAUUUUAUAGUUUCCUGUAUAAAACUUCUCACAUAUUUUGCUAAAUUUAUCCAAAAUUAAGUUUUUGUGUUAUUAUUAGUGAUACUUUUAUACUUUUAUUUCUAACAUUAUUGCUAAUAUAUAGAAAUAUAUUUGAUUUUGUAUAUUGACUUUUUAAUCAUGUGAUCUUGCCAAAUUUAUUUAUUCUUGUUUUUUUCACCAUGCCUGCAGCAUGUGGAAGUUCCCAGGUCAGAGAGUGAACCCAAGCCACAGCAGUGACCCAAGCCACUGGGUUGACAACACAGGAUCUUAACCCACAGCACCACAAGGGAACUCCUGUUUAUUAGUUUCGAUAGCUUUUUGUGGGUACUUUAUGACUUCCAAAAUAGACAAUCGUUUUGUCUUUGAAUAAAGAUAAUUUCCUUUUCAGUCUGGAUAGCUUUUCUGUGUUUUACUUUUCUUAUUGCACUGUCUAGGACCUCCAGUAAAUGUAGAAAAGAAGUGAUGAGGUGGUCAUUUUUGCCCACCCAACCUUUUCAGGAGAGCAUUCAGUCUUUGUAUUAUGUUCGCUACGGAUUAUUCAUAGAUAUUCCUUAUCAAGUUCAGAAAGUUCCGGUCUAUUUCUUGUUUACCAAAUGACUUUUGAAUUUUGUCUAAUGAGAUGAUCAUAUAGUUUUUUUUUUCAAUUGUGCUAGUCUGGUGGAUUACAUUGAUUACUUUUCAAGUGGUAAACAAACCUUUUAUUCCUGGGAUAAACCUGAUUUGGUCAAGUCUCAUUUCCCUUUCUAUCUAUUGCUAGAUUUGAUUUGCUAAAAUUUUGUUAAGGGUCUAUGCUCAUUAGGGAUUCAGUUCUUUUCUUGCAAUCUUACAAUCAAAUCUUUUUUCUGAUUUGGGUAUCAGGGUAGGGCUAGCCUCAAAAUAUGAGCAGGGAAAUGUUCCUUUUUUCCCUCCUUUUUCUGAAAGAGUUUGUGUAGAAUUGAUCCUAUUUCUUCCUUAAACGUUAGGUAGGACUUACUACUGAAGCCAUCUGGAUCUGGAAUUUUCUUUAUGGGAAGAUUUUUUUUUUAAUUGAUUUACUUUUAAAAAAAUGUUAGGGUGUUCCCCGGUGUGAUCUAGUGGUUAGUACUCAGUGCUUUCACCACUGUGGCCUGGGUUCAAUCUCUGGUCUAGGAACUGAGAUCCCACAUCAAGCCACUGCAUGCUGUGGCCAAAAUAACUUUUUUAAUUUUUAAAAUAAAAAGUUCACAUUGAGAUAAAUUCCACAUAACAUAAAAUUCACCAUUUAAACCAUUUUAAAGUGUAUAAUUCAUUGGGUUUUUACUAUACUCACAGUCUUGUCAAUCAUUCUCACCAUCUAACUCCAAAAUAUUUCCAUCACACUAAAAAAAACACACCUCUCAAUUCCCUCUUUCCUCCAUCCCCUGUUAACCACUAAUAGACAUUUUAUUUGUAUGGAUCAGCCUAUUUUGAACAUUUCAUAUUAACUGAACACUAUGAUAUGUGGUAUUUUAUGUCUGGUUUCUUUCACUUAGCAUAGUGUUUUCCAUCUUCAUCUGGGUAUAUAAUGUAUCAGUACUUCAUACAUUUUUAUUGCAGAGGAAUAUUACAUGGUAUGGAUAUACCACAUUUUGUUUAUCCAUUCACCAGUUGAUGGAAACUUUAAUUAUUUCCACUUUUUGGCUACUACAAAUAAUUCCACUAUGAAAUUCAUGUACAAGUUUCUGUAUGAACAUAUGUUUACAAUUCUCUUGUGGAAUUGCUACAUCAUAUGGUAAAUUUUUUUUUGUCUUUUGUCUUUUUAGGGCCCACAUCUGCAGCAUAUGGAGGUUUCCAGGCUAGGGGUGGAAUUGGAGCUGUAGCUGCCAGCCUACGCCACAGCCACAGCAACAAGGGAUCUGGGUCGCAGACACAGCUCGGAUCCAGAGUUGCUGUGGCCGUGGCGUAGGCUGGCAGCUACAGCUCUGAUUCGACCCCUAGCCUGGGAACCUCCAUAUGCCGAGGGAGUGGCCCUAGAAAUGGCAAAAAGACCAAAAAAAAAAAAAAAAAAAGGGUUAUAGGAGUUCCUGUCAUGGCUCAGCAGUAGCAAAUCCUACUAGUAUCCAUGAGGAUGCGGGUUUGAUCCCUGGCCUUGCUCAGUGGGUUAAGAAUCCAGUGUUGCCAUGAGCUGUGGUGUAGUUCGAAGAUGUGGCUCUGAU
rnacentral:lncRNA from 1 species